GACCACGCACACACUCCUUGGCCUGUGGCCGAGGGAGGGUGUCACAGGCCCACAUCCUGUCUCCCCCCGCUCGGGACGUGUUUUAUUUAUCUUGCUUUAUACACACGUUAAGUGGGACAUGGUCAAAACAUUUCUCGUUUCCUCCACGUAGGCAGAGCUGACCCUGCAGACGCUGGAAGUUUUCAUUCGGGUCAGCAAGUUGUGGACGUGAAGUAGGACUUUAAAGUAGGGGACUCCUGGGGAUUAAUCCUGAGCAGAAUUCUCGAAGACGACUCAAGUUUAAUCAAGUAGGAAGAAACUGGGAAGGAGUGAUAUUGGGAGCAUUGAUCAAGAGAAGGCAUACACAACAGAUCUGUAUUCACUGGCUGGUCGCUAUCUGCAUGCAUCCUGGUACCACUGAGCCCUGGACAGAGGACUGUUAGCAUCUCACUGGGAGCCACUGCUGUGCAAAGCAGGUACACAACAUAGCGAUUCGAUGACUAUCUACAUUAUGAAAUGCUCCCCACAAGAGGUGUAGUUACCAUCUGUCACCACACAAAUUUAUGACCAUGUUGGAAUCAUCGUAACCACACUUGUGUUCAUUGUUUAUCACCCCCGACUAAACAAAUUACCAUG
rnacentral:lncRNA from 12 species